rnacentral:rRNA from 1 species
UACGUAGGUGGCUAGCGUUAUCCGGAAUUACUGGGCGUAAAGGGUGCGUAGGUGGUUUCUUAAGUCAGAGGUGAAAGGCUACGGCUCAACCGUAGUAAGCCUUUGAAACUGGGGAACUUGAGUGCAGGAGAGGAGAGUGGAAUUCCUAGUGUAGCGGUGAAAUGCGUAGAUAUUAGGAGGAACACCAGUUGCGAAGGCGGCUCUCUGGACUGUAACUGACACUGAGGCACGAAAGCGUGGGUAGCAAACAGG